rnacentral:rRNA from 1 species
AUACGUAGGUGACAAGCGUUAUCCGGAUUUACUGGGCGUAAAGGGCGUGUAGGCGGUCUUGCAAGUCAGAAGUGAAAUUCCUGAGCUCAACUCGGGCGCUGCUUCUGAAACUGCAGGACUUGAGUGCUGGAGGGGAUAGCGGAAUUCCUAGUGGAGCGGUAAAAUGCGCAGAUAUUAGGAAGAACACCGGUGGCGAAGGCGGCUAUCUGGACAGUAACGGACGCUGAGGCGCGAAAGCGUGGGGAGCAAACAGGAUUAGAUACCCUUGUAGUCCACGCCGUAAACGAUGAAUACUAGGUGUAGGGGGUAUCGACUCCCUCUGUGCCGCAGUUAACACAAUAAGUAUUCCGCCUGGGGAGUACGGCCGCAAGGUUGAAACUCAAAUGAAUUGACGGGG